rnacentral:rRNA from 1 species
UACGGGAGGCAGCAGUGGGGAAUAUUGCACAAUGGGCGCAAGCCUGAUGCAGCCAUGCCGCGUGUAUGAAGAAGGCCUUCGGGUUGUAAAGUACUUUCAGUCGUGAGGAAGGUGUUAAGGUUAAUAACCUUAGCAAUUGACGUUAGCGACAGAAGAAGCACCGGCUAACUCCGUGCCAGCAGCCGCGGUAAUACGGAGGGUGCGAGCGUUAAUCGGAAUUACUGGGCGUAAAGGGCACGCAGGCGGUUAAUUAAGUUGGAUGUGAAAUCCCCGGGCUUAACCUGGGAAUGGCAUUCAAGCUGGUUAGCUAGAGUCUUGUAGAGGGGGUAGAAUUCCAUGUGUAGCGGUGAAAUGCGUAGAGAUGUGGAGGAAUACCGGUGGCGAAGGCGGCCCCUGGACAAAGACUGACGCUCAUGUGCGAAAGCGUGGGGAGCAAACAGGGAUUAGAUACC